rnacentral:misc_RNA from 1 species
CCAUAAUGGCCCCGUACAACUUUAAGGACCACUGGAUAUGCUUCCUCAUUUAUCCUAAGGUUGGAAAGGUGCUGGUGCUCGACUCCUUGAACUUCGACCCUUCGACAUAUGCAACAUUCCUCAGCAUCUUAGAGCUUGCUUAUAGAUUCUAUAAGAUGAGAGGUGGAAAGUACGACCUGUCGAAAAAACUCGUGCCACUAGACAUCCAUCAUCACUGGCCGUGCCACAAGCAACCACAAGGAUCGGUCCUAUGUGGAUUCUAUGCGUGCGAGUUCAUGAGAGUGAACGGACGAUACAUCACGAACCCUGACAAGCAAUUUCAACGAGGAAACCCGGAGAACUUGACCGAAGCUGCAUUGUAUGGCAUAGUCGAGGACCUCUGCACAUUCAUAUUGAAAGAGGUCAUUCCCGCAGAAGGAAAAUAUCACGAUGCUUCCGGAACAUUAGCUUUGCCAGAGUUUAGAAUACUAACAGA